rnacentral:rRNA from 1 species
AACACGUGGGUAAUCUGCCCUGCACUCUGGGAUAAGCCUGGGAAACUGGGUCUAAUACUGGAUAUGACCUUUCUCCUUAUGGGGUUUGGUGGAAAGUUUUUCGGUGUAGGAUGAGCCCGCGGCCUAUCAGCUUGUUGGUGGGGUGAUGGCCUACCAAGGCGACGACGGGUAGCCGGCCUGAGAGGGUGAUCGGCCACAUUGGGACUGAGAUACGGCCCAG